AACCCAGAGGCGCAAUCAAAGUGAACAGCGCUGCUUCGGUAGCCGUAGGGAAGAUGGCGGCCGGUGCGCCCGUCCUCCCGCAUUCCUCAGGCGUUUCGAGAAAUGCCUCCGUGCGAUUAUCGAGACGCACUGAGAGCGCGCACGCUGGGACCCGAAAGAUGGUGAACUAGGCCUGGUCAAGUCGAAGUCAGGGGAAACCCUGAUGGAGGACCGUAUCGAUUCUGACGUGCAAAUCGAUCGUCUGAACUGGGUAUAGGGGCGAAAGACUAAUCGAACUAUCUAAUAGCUGGUUCCAUCCGAAGUUUCCCUCAGGAUAGA
rnacentral:rRNA from 1 species